UCCGUAGGUGAACCUGCGGAGGGAUCAUUACAAGUGACCCCGGUCUAACCACCGGGAUGUUCAUAACCCUUUGUUGUCCGACUCUGUUGCCUCCGGGGCGACCCUGCCUUCGGGCGGGGGCUCCGGGUGGACACUUCAAACUCUUGCGUAACUUUGCAGUCUGAGUAAACUUAAUUAAUAAAUUAAAACUUUUAACAACGGAUCUCUUGGUUCUGGCAUCGAUGAAGAACGCAGCGAAAUGCGAUAAGUAAUGUGAAUUGCAGAAUUCAGUGAAUCAUCGAAUCUUUGAACGCACAUUGCGCCCCCUGGUAUUCCGGGGGGCAUGCCUGUUCGAGCGUCAUUUCACCACUCAAGCCUCGCUUGGUAUUGGGCAACGCGGUCCGCCGCGUGCCUCAAAUCGACCGGCUGGGUCUUCUGUCCCCUAAGCGUUGUGGAAACUAUUCGCUAAAGGGUGUUCGGGAGGCUACGCCGUAAAACAACCCCAUUUCUAAGGUUGACCUCGGAUCAGGUAGGGAUACCCGCUGAACUUAAGCAUAUCAAUAAGCGGAG
rnacentral:rRNA from 1 species